rnacentral:rRNA from 1 species
GAUGAACGCUGGCGGCGUGCCUAAUACAUGCAAGUCGAGCGAACAGACGAGGAGCUUGCUCCUCUGACGUUAGCGGCGGACGGGUGAGUAACACGUGGAUAACCUACCUAUAAGACUGGGAUAACUUCGGGAAACCGGAGCUAAUACCGGAUAAUAUAUUGAACCGCAUGGUUCAAUAGUGAAAGACGGUUUUGCUGUCACUUAUAGAUGGAUCCGCGCCGCAUUAGCUAGUUGGUAAGGUAACGGCUUACCAAGGCAACGAUGCGUAGCCGACCUGAGAGGGUGAUCGGCCACACUGGAACUGAGACACGGUCCAGACUCCUACGGGAGGCAGCAGUAGGGAAUCUUCCGCAAUGGGCGAAAGCUUGACGGAGCAACGCCGCGUGAGUGAUGAAGGUCUUCGGAUCGUAAAACUCUGUUAUUAGGGAAGAACAAAUGUGUAAGUAAAUAUGCACGUCUUGACGGUACCUAAUCAGAAAGCCACGGCUAACUACGUG